rnacentral:misc_RNA from 1 species
ACCUACUGUUUAAUUUUGAGGGUUCGUUUUUACGAAUACUCAAAAUUAGCACUUUAAGCAACAGAAUAAACUGAACGCAUGUGAAGUUUGUUUGUUGGCGACGUGCUUUAGCACUUUAAGUAACGGAAUAAUCUGAGUGAAUACGAAGGUUGUUCGUUGACGUGGUGCGUUAGCACUUUAAGCAACGGGAUUUAUCCGUUGGCGCUGUGCGUUAGCACUUUGAAAACUGCAUAUAUAUUUAGUGAUAUGACAUCUAAUUUGUAAUAUAUAAAGUUGAUAACUUUUUAAAAUUAUCGAAGUUGAUAGCUUCUAAUCUAUCAAACCUUUUUAACUGGUCAA